CGCCAUUUAAAGUGGUACGCGUGCUGGGUGUCGAACGUCGUGAGACAGUGCGGGCCCUAUCGGCCGUGGACGUUGGGGAUUUGRGRGGGGCUGCUCCUAGUACGAGAGGACCGGAGUGGACGAACCUCUGGUGUUCCGGUUGUCACGCCAGUGGCAUUGCCGGGUAGCUAUGUUCGGAAAAGAUAACCGCUGAAAGCAUCUAAGCGGGAAACUUGCCUCAAGAUGAGAUCUCACUGGAACCUUGAGUUCCCUGAAGGGCCGUCGAAGACUACGACGUUGAUAGGUUGGGUGUGUAAGCGCUGUGAGGCGUUGAGCUAACCAAUACUAAUUGCCCGUGAGGCUUGACCAUAUAACACCCAAGCAAUU
rnacentral:rRNA from 1 species